rnacentral:lncRNA from 1 species
GGGCGGUGUUGGAAAUCUGAAUGUCACCCGCGGUCCGGAGCAGAUAGGAUGGGCUGGGAAGGUACCCGCGAACUGCCGCCGGAAUUCGCUGGCAGCUGUGCGAGGCUCAGGUGUUCUAGUUUGACAUUUCCCUUCCUGAAAGCGGCAAGGAGAGGUCUAAGAGUGGGCAAACUUCAACGUUCGGUUACAGUGUAAUUAAUGAGAGUGGUGGGUUUUUAUGCAGUGUAAUUAUGCCACGAUUUGUUGUUGCUCAGUGGCUUUUUCACAAAUUUCUACAGAUUAUUUAAAUUUUCCACAAAUUUCUACGGAUUAAUUCAAUGGCAGCUCACUUUCUCCUUUUAUGAUCGGAUGGGUCCGAAAGUGAGGAAAAAGACAAUUGUCUACAAAGAAAGAGGCUGCCAAGUGGAGACAGAAAAGCAGUUAUGAGACUGAUGAUAGAUUCCAAUUUGUUAUCGAAAGGAAGGAGGAGACCUGAACAGUACAUCCGGAGAAUCCAGCAAAGCAUACUACGGCAUGAACGUGCAAGUGGACAGAAUUAAAACACAUGCCAGAAACACUAAUGGAUUCUAAACAAGAUGCAGUUUCAUUUCCUGAGCCUAUACGUGAUGUUUUUAACUGUUCUCCAGUUAAUAUGUCUCCAUUUCCAGAAAUCUAACAGGAGAAUCUCUGACUGCUUAACAGAUCACCUAAGCUUGCGAUUUGUGCAAUCCUUUCUAGAGUAAGGGCUCCCCGGCUGCUCCCCGGCCACUGUGUACCCAAAGCAGCGGCUGAAAUAGCCCGGAGUCCAACAGCUCAGCGUCAAGCAGCUCGUGGCAAACGCAGCCGCCGGUCUUGACUGCCAUCGCCCAAGGGGUUCCUCUGGGCUCUCCCGCGAGCCAACAGCCGACCUCUCUCCAGCCUAGUCUGGGAAACUCCAGCCAACCCAGGAUCCCAUUUUGUAGUCCCGGGCAGACCCGAAACCCCUGAAAGAACUCCACUCCAGAAGACGCCAGAACAAGUUCCCACGAAUUUCAUGGGCGCCCUUCACAUGAAAACCUCAGCUCCCCUAUCCUCAAGGAACGGGGAAGGGCGCCGGGGAGGGACUUCGGUGGCCAGCUGUCCCUGGGUCGUGGGCGCUGUUUGCUCUGCGGAGCGCCAGCCCUGCACACAGCGGGUGCGGGAAGCGUUGAUGGGAGGCUGGAGGGCGGGGUGAGCGUAAACUAGGAUCUAGCCGGUUCCAGGCGUGGAGAAUCAAAUGUGGUCCUAGAUCUGUAAGUUGCGAAAAGGGGCUUUUGGGAGCGUCAGAGCUUUCUCACUCCGGUCCCCCGCCGCCUUGAGGCUGGCAGAUUUAUACCCCACAGGUGGAUGGAGACCUAAACAAAACAGUCCCGGCCGCUGCCUGCCGCUCGCCCCCCACGUCCCCCGGGCCCACCGCAAACUUCAACAAAAUAAACAACUCACCACAGGCAUUCCCUUGUCUGCAGCGCGACGCUUGCCAGCUGGGAAAAUAAGCCGCAAGCCACGCGGCCGAGGCGCGGAGGGAAGGCAGCGCGGCGCCCGCC